rnacentral:rRNA from 1 species
AUUGAACGCUGGCGGCAUGCCUUACACAUGCAAGUCGAACGGUAACAGGUUAAGCUGACGAGUGGCGAACGGGUGAGUAAUGUAUCGGAACGUGCCCAGUCGUGGGGGAUAACUGCUCGAAAGAGCAGCUAAUACCGCAUACGACCUGAGGGUGAAAGCGGGGGAUCGCAAGACCUCGCGCGAUUGGAGCGGCCGAUAUCAGACUAGGUAGUUGGGGAGGUAAAGGCUCACCAAGCCGACGAUCUGUAGCUGGUGUGAGAGGACGACCAGCCACACUGGGACGGAGACACGGCCCAGACUCCUGCGGGAGGCAGCAGUGGGGAAUUUUGGACAAUGGGGGCAAGCCUGAUCCAGCCAUGCCGCGUGCGGGAAGAAGGCCUUCGGGUUGUAAACCGCUUUUGUCAGGGAAGAAAAGGUUCUGGCUAAUACCUGGGACUCAUGACGGUACCUGAAGAAUAAGCACCGGCUAACUACGUG